UGGGGAAUUUUCCGCAAUGGGCGAAAGCCUGACGGAGCAAGACCGCGUGAGGGAGGAAGGCUCUUGGGUUGUAAACCUCUUUUCUCAGGGAAUAAGCACUGAAGGUACCUGAGGAAUCAGCAUCGGCUAACUCCGUGCCAGCAGCCGCGGUAAUACGGAGGAUGCAAGCGUUAUCCGGAAUCAUUGGGCGUAAAGCGUCCGCAGGUGGCAAUUCAAGUCUGCCGUCAAAACUCGUGGCUCAACUACGAACAGGCGGUGGAAACUGAAUAGCUAGAGUGCGGUAGGGGUAGAGGGAAUUCCCGGUGUAGCGGUGAAAUGCGUAGAGAUCGGGAAGAACACCAGUGGCGAAAGCGCUCUGCUGGACCUGCACUGACACUGAGGGACGAAAGCUAGGGGAGCG
rnacentral:rRNA from 1 species